CAUAUUUGUGACUUAUCGGGGAUAUCAAUAAAUAGCUUUCCUUCAUUUCAACGUAUUGUGUUAAAUACGCCAAAACCUUCUUCGCUAAGUUCUCUGAAUUUUCUUUUGUUGAAGCUUGUAUGUUGAAGCUUUGUGAGUGGAGCAUGUAGGUUGAGGUAGUAUUCCCUUAAUUUCCCGAGUGAGGAAAACUUCUCAGUUGGAGACUUGGAAAAUCCAAGUCACUGAGUGGGAUCGGCUAUAUGAAUCUUUGAACGCCAUUGUGCUCGGUCCUGUGUCAUGUCCUCCGUUAUAUCCAAGUACUCUAAGUCUUUUCUUAGAGUCUCUUCCAAAGUUUUCCUAGGUCUUCCUCUACCCCUUCGGCCCUGAACCUCUGUCCCAUAGUCGCAUCUUCUAAUCGGAGCGUCAGUAGGCCUUCUUUGCACAUGUCCAAACCACCGUAACCGAUUUUCUCUCAUCUUUCCUUCAAUUUCGGCUACUCCUACUUUACCCCGGAUAUUCUCAUUCCUAAUCUUAUCCUUUCUUGUGUGCCCACACAUCCAACGAAGCAUCCUCAUCUCCGCUACACCCAUUUUGUGUACGUGUUGAUGCUUCACCGCCCAACAUUCUGUGCCAUACAGCAUCGCCGGCCUUAUUGCCGUCCUAUAAAAUUUUCCCUUGAGCUUCAGUGGCAUACGGCGGUCACACAACACGCCGGAUGCACUCUUCCACUUCAUCCAUCCAGCUUGUAUUCUAUGGUUGAGAUCUCCAUUUAAUUCUCCGUUCUUUUGCAAGAUAGAUCCUAGGUAACGAAAACGAUCGCUCUUUGGUAUUUCUUGAUCUCCGAUCCUCACCCCUAACUCGUUUUGGCCUCCAUUUGCACUGAACUUGCACUCCAUAUAUUCUGUCUUUGAUCGGCUUAGGCGAAGACCUUUAGAUUCCAACACUUCUCUCCAAAGGUUAAGCUUUGCAUUUACCCCCUUCCUGAGUUUCAUCUAUCAACACUAUAAUCGUCUGCGAAAAGCAUACACCAAGGAAUAUCAUCUUGAAUAUGUCCUGUUAACUCAUCCAUUACCAACGCAAAAAGGUAAAGACUUAAGGAUGAGCCUUGAUGUAAUCCUACAGUUAUGGGAAAGCUUUCGGUUUGUCCUUCAUGAGUUCUUACGGCAGUCUUUGCUCCUUCAUACAUAUCCUUUAUAGCUUGGAUAUAUGCUACUCGUACUCUUUUCUUCUCUAAAAUCCUCCAAAGAAUGUCUCUUGGGACCCUAUCAUACGCUUUUUCCAAAUCUAUAAAGACCAUGUGUAAAUCCUUUUUCCCAUCUCUAUAUCUUUCCAUCAAUCUUCGUAAGAGAUAGAUUGCCUCCAUGGUUGAGCGCCCUGGCAUGAACCCGAAUUGGUUGUCCGAAACCCGUGUCUCUUGCCUCAAUCUAUGCUCAAUGACUCUCUCCCAGAGCUUCAUUGUAUGACUCAUUAGCUUAAUACCCCUAUAGUUCAUGCAAUUUUGUACGUCGCCCUUAUUCUUGUAGAUAGGCACCAAAGUGCUCGUUCGCCACUCAUUUGGCAUCUUCUUCGUUUUCAAAAUCCUAUUGAAAAGGUCAGUGAGUGAGCCAUGUUAUACCUGUCUCUCUUCCAAAACUUUCCACACUUCGAUUGGUAUAUAUCGUCUGGGCCUACUGCUUUUCUAUGCUUCAUUUUCUUCAAAGCUACAACCACUUCUUCCUUCCGGAUUCGACGAUAAAAAGAGUAGUAGUUUCUACACUCUUCUGAGUUACACAACUCCCCUAAAGAAGCACUCCUUUCAUGUCCUUCAUUGAAAAGAUUAUGAAAAUAACCUCUCCAUCUAUCUUUAACCGCGUUCUCUGUAGCAAGAACCUUUCUAUCCUCAUCCUUGAUGCACCUCACUUGGUUUAGGUCCCUUGUCUUCUUUUCCCUUUCUCUAGCUAGUUUAUAGAUAUCCAACUCUCCUUCUUUGGUAUCUAGUCGCUUAUACAUAUCGUCAUAAGCCGCUAACUUAGCUUCUCUCACAACUUUCUUCGCCUCUUGCUUCGCUUUUCUAUACCUUUCACCAUUUUCAUCGGUCAUAUCCUUGUAUAAGGCUUUACAACAUUCCUUCUUAGCCUUCACCUUUGUUUGUACCUCCUCAUUCCACCACCAAGUUCCUUUUGGUGUGGGGCAAAGCCCUUAGACUCUCCUAAUACCUCUUUUGCUACUUUUCGGAUACAACUAGCCAUGGAAUCCCACAUUUGGCUAGCUUCCCCCUCUCUAUCCCACACACACUGGGUGAUUACUUUCUCUUUGAAAAUAACUUGUUUUUCUUCUUUUAGAUUCCACCAUCUAGUCCUUAGGCACUUCCAAGUCUUGUUCUUUUUUCUCACUCUUUUGAUAUGUACAUCCAUCACCAACAAGCGAUGUUGAUUAGCCACGCUCUCUCCUGGUAUAACUUUGCAAUCCUUACAAGUUAUACGAUCCUCUUUCCUCAUUAGAAGAAAAUCUAUUUGUGUUUUUGACGACCCACUCUUGUAGGUGAUCACAUGUUCUUCUCUCUUCUUAAAGAAGGUGUUGGCUAAGAAUAGAUCAUAUGCCAUUGCAAAAUCCAAGAUAGCUUCCUCAUCCUCGUUUCUCUCCCCAAAACCAUGGCCACCAUGAAAACCUCCAUAGUUGCCUGUCUCCCUGCCCACGUGUCCAUUUAAAUCUCCUCCUAUAAAUAACUUCUCCGUCUGAGCAAUUCCUUGCACCAAGUCUCCAAGGUCUUCCCAAAAUUUCUCCUUCGAACUCAUAUCCAACCCUACUUGAGGUGCGUACGCACUAAUCACAUUGAUAAGUUCUUGUCCUAUUACAAUCUUGAUUGCCAUGAUUCUAUCUCAUACCCUCUUGACAUCUACAACAUCUUGUGUCAAGGUCUUGUCCACGAUGAUGCCAACACCGUUUCUCAUUCUAUUUGUGCCCGAGUACCAAAGUUUAAACCCUGAGUUUUCUAGAUCCUUUGCCUUAAGACCAACCCACUUAGUUUCUUGUAGGCACAUAAUAUUUAUCCUUCUCCUCACCAUAACUUCCACUACUUCCAUAGAUUUUCCCGUUAAGGUUCCUAUAUUCCACGUUCCUAAACGCAUUCUACUCUCCUGAACUCUACCCUUCUGUCCUAGCUUCUUCUCCCUCCCCCGUCCAAUGGAAUCAAAGUACUUCUUUUGUGUGUCCCGUGUAAAGUUGAUAGGUGCAUAUGCUCCCAAACAACUUUGAGUGGAGUCGUUCGAAAAGAAGUUUCUAUGGCCCCCUUGCUCAUUUAACACUGCAUCCGGGUGCCUAUGGAGAUACAGCGACCCUUGCUCACUUAUCACUGUGCUCGGGCCACACAGCGCGCCACUUACGGGUGACGCCCUAGCUUUAGCGCGAUUUCGUUCUGAAUUCAUUUUCAUAAGGAUUCGACGUAACUGUAGAGUGCCGGCUGUCGACUACCUGACGCCCUCCCCCUCCUCCUUUACCCGGGCUUGGGACCGGCAAUGUAAGAUAAACUUACAUAGGCGGAGUUCAUCUUUGUAAACCCAAUAAUGCUAAAUACUUUCCUGAUGAAAUGAUGCACGCUUCUAAUUCUAGAUCAACACCAUCAACAGUAUUUGAUGGCAUGAUAAAAACUGGUACUUCAAUUUCCAUCCUCCAACUUAUGAGAUGCUUCUAUUGGAGGAACAGCUUGAAAUUGCAAACCAGAUAGGGACGACUCGUUCACAAAUUUUUACAAACUUAAAUGACCUCGCUAUAGGAACGAGCUUCUUGUAAGUGCUGCGUUUACCUUGUUCGUGAUUGUUGGGUUCCGCUGAAUUGAGAAGAAAGAGGAGGGGUAAGAAGUGGGAAAUACUGUUGCUCCACUGCGGUAGUUUUAGGUGACAAGAGUUGAGAGUUUCCGGCUAACCAGUAUUGCUAGGCUCAGUGAAUCGUUCGGUUUUGUUGUGACGAGUAUAACAGCCUAGCAACCUAGUCAUUUGUUUCCGCUGAUGGGUUGUAAGUUAUCAUAGUCGUUAACCUUUGUCGGAGACCGCUACAUUUGUUCACAUGUAAUAACCGUAUUGAUGAAAUUACCAUGAGUUUUAACCACCUCAAUCUCUUUCGAACUCGAUUUUCUUCUUUUCAAGGACAUUUCUUUAUGCGCUUCUGAGGCGUAAUGCCAUUUUUUUAAAUAUUACAGCAAUGCCUUGUAACUCAAGACUCCUCUUUCGCUUUUGUGAAAGGAAGUUGAAAUUCUGGAUUUGAAUGGAAAUCAAAUUAUUGCACAUAUCAAACUAUAUUGUUUUCUGAAUAUAUGUUGAAAUUCCAAAUUCUUUUGGAACGGAACUGGAAGGGCGGGCAGAAGUUCGUUGGUGUUGCAGGAAAGGAAUGGCCUUUCUAACGUAUAUUCCGUCGUACCAACAUGGCCGCACUGAUUUGUUUUCGAUUGGAGCAUCAAGCAACUUCAGUGAUGGUGAGCUGGUCAAGUAAGGAGAAUCGACAAGGUGGAGAAGAUUUAAAAAGAAUCUGCAGCAGUGAGAGUCAAAUGACUGAUCGUGAUCGUCUGCAGAAGUUGUUUGAGUCUUCAAAUAUGUAAGCCUGUUCGCUGAGGUGAACAAGAAGGAGGCCCUGUAUGCCCUACUAUACGGCUGAAUCACCAUCUUUCUGCCCGAGCAACCUGGUCCCUAUUCGCUUGCUUGUUCGUUGGAUGCGUUGUUUUGUGUAACACGUAUUGAGGAAGUCAACUUCUGAUAUUAAUUUAAGACAGAUUUGGGUAUUGGUUUUUUUAUGUAAUUUUCAAUUCCAAAAAAUUGUGGAUUAUAAUCUCUUGAUUUCGAUUCGAUCUUUCCAAAAAUCAUAUUUACUGAUUACAUUGUUUUGUUCGGUAAAUAGAAGAUUAUGAGGAGUAAGGUAAAAUGUUUGUAAAACACAAAGUAAAAAGUAAAUCACUCAAUCGUUGUAUGAACUUUGAACGUCCUCUCCUUCCCCACCAACGAGAAUAACAAUCAAAUAUGAGGUGAAUAUAUCUAAUAGAAUUUUAGAAAACAACUGCACGAGGUAAACAAUGGCAGACGGAGACAGCAGGAGUGGUUUUCCACUGUUCCAUAAACCUCGUGGGCCUAUCAUGACGAUGCGCGUGUGCCCUAAUUUACUAAUUACUCAAGUGACUCUCUCUCCUCCUCCUCCUCUUCUCCCUCUUCAUGUAGUGGACCUAAUUUUUAUUCUAUUCGAAACAUUGUGACGUGAUGUUAUAAUUUAACUCAAAUUAUAUAAUGUAUGCCAAUCACGGUUGGCUGAGUUGGUAAGGAUUGUUUUUUUUUUUCUAGACCAAGACCUAGGUUCAAGUUCCGUUGCCAACAAUUCUUCUUAGUGGAUGAUACGUAAAAACUAAAAAAGGGGGUAAACCCCUAUCUAAAAACUAAAAAAGGAGGUAAGACCCCCUCUGUAAGUCCUUAAAGAGACUUGUGGUAUGUCCUAACCCUAAGAUGGAAUAGCCUCCCCUCUCCCUUAACUUUCAGCAAAUAAACAAAUGAUAUUAUGUAUAUUUUUUUUAUAUAGAAAAAAUACUACAUUAAAGAGAAAAGUCCCUAGGGCAACCGAUUUGGGUACAAUAAAAAAGGAAGGCCUGACGGGUUUCCUACGGAAGAGUUCUAUCCUAAACAUGAAAAUUAGAGACUGAAUAACCCACACUAGUUAUAGCAUCUGCCAGAAAAUUGACUUCCCGAAAGACAUGCUUCCUGCAAAUCUCCUUAAAUGACAUGGCAAGCUAGCAAAUAUCCUCCAGGAUGACCUUCAAUCUCCAAGGGGGGCAAUAGGCUCUACAGAUAGACUCAAUCACCAGCUUUGAAUCACCCUCCACCAUAAUGUGAGCCAAACCUUUGGCUUUAGCCAUCCAAAGGCCAUCCCUCAACGCCAGGCAUUCUGCAGUCGAAAUAGUGUUUUGACCAAUAAAUCUAGCUCCUGCAACAAUAGGCUCUCCCUUCUCAUUUCUAAUCACAAACCCAACAGCCGCACCUUGAUUCACCACAGAGCCAUCAAAGUUAAGUUUAACAAAACCAACAUUCGAAGGGGACCAUCGAAUAGAAAAUGGUGGAGAGGACCUGCUACCAUUGUAAACCACAGGAAUUAUACCAUUGGCAUCUAUGAAUUCCCUCCCUAUAUUGGGGUCCGACUUAACGAUCCAGGUAGGGUUUGGAAUUUUAUUUUGGAAAACCACAAGAUUCCUCUCCUUCCAAAUCUGCCGGCAAACUAGUAAAACUUUACUGAGAUCACACAAACCUACAUCAUUCUUAACAGUUAAUUCAUUGAGCCAAUCAUUAAAAGGAAGAAAUUGAUUUACUCUUAUGUUGUUAGAGAUAACUUGACAAUUCCAAACUAGCCUCACAAAAUUACAAUUUAUAAAUAAAUGAGAUAUGUUUUCAUCCUCUAAAUUACACAUAGGACAGGUGGAUGGGAUAUUAUUGACAUAUGUUGAUAAUCUGUCUCUUGUAUGAAGCCUUCCAAUUACGAGAAGCUAACUAAAAUUUUUAACUUUACGAGGGAGUUGAAGCUUCCACAUUUUCUUAAGAAGCUCUCUUACAUUCUCAUUGUUAUUAUCACUAUUUUGUAUCCAAGUUGCCGACUUAACUAAGAACUUACCAUUUGCAUUAGGCUCCCAUCAACACAUAUUGCAUUGGGGAGUUAUGGGGAAGGGAAUACUACAUAUUUUAUUCACAAUGUCCUCAUCGACUAAAGAUGAAAGUUCAUCUCUGUCCCAUUGUCCAUUAUUAAUGAAUUGACUCUCCUUCAUGUUUAGAUCGAUGUCAUUAACAUGAUUGGGAGAAAUAAAGUUGGAUAGAGGGAAAGGAAAAACCCAGUUAUGGGUCUAGAAGAGGAUACUCUCUCCAUUUCCCACAACCCAGCUCAGCCCCAUUUUGAUAAUAUCUCUAGCCUUAAGGAUACUUUUCCAGGCACAAGAGUGGUGAUGUCUGACUUUAGUGUUAAGCUCUCUCUUCAAGUAUUUAUUCUUAACAAUCUAUACCCACCAAUUUUGAUUAUCCGUUAGGACUUUCCAGCCAAGUUUUGCUAAACGAGCAUUAUUAAAGUGAUCACUUUUCAUAAAUUUCAAUCCACCAUUUUCCUUAGAGCUGCAAACUCUAUCCCAAGCCACAUGGACAAGUUUGCAAUCUUUUCCCCAAAAAACUUUCUACUUUCACUAUAUAUAGUUUUUGUGAUUUUCUUCGUUCAUAGAGAGAAGAAAUACUCUAGAAACCACCCAAACGCAACAAUAAUUGAAGCAAUUGGGCAGAACCCUAACCCUAGAAAUUUUCCCUUUUCCCCCUGUCGACUCUCAUUUUAGUGAAGCCUUUAUUUAUAUUAAUAUACCUUAGAAGUGAGCCUUAUAAAAUAAUUUAUCAUUUGUAUUAUAACAUGUGUUCUUAGAUAUACACAAAACUUUCUCAAUGAAGUCCUGCACAUAGGAAAAAAGAUGAUGAUAACUCACGUGCAAAUAAUUCGAUCCAUCUCUUUGGGCAAGGGGAAUGAAUGACUGGAAACAUAGAAGAGAAAUAUAAAGAGCAUCUUCUAAUUAGGGUUUCGGUUUCGUAAAAGAAAAGUGCAUGCAUGUGGGAAGGUGGUGUUGUGUUAUGGGACCAAUGGAUUCAAAGAAUGUCGAGCUAAAGCACAACAUUAAGUCCUUCAUUUCAAAUGUGAUGAAUGGGAGAGAGGCCAUGGAGUGUGAGGAGUUGUUCCCUCUCAUGUCCCAAUCCAUCACUACUACUUCCCUUAUCUCUUUCCAUUUUUUAUAGGUAUAUAUUUCUUUGCAAUAUUUUGUCAACUUUUUUUGGGCAUAGCGUUUUUAAUAUUUUUUUUUUGGCGCAAUGGAAAUGUUGCUCCUUUAUAAUCAAAAGGUCACGGGUUCAAGUCAUAGAAAUAGUCUCUUUGCAAAACAAGAGGAAGAUUGCGUACGGUAAACGUCUUCCCCCACCGAACUCUCGCAAAACGGAGAACCUUACUAACUUGGAGUAGCCCUUUUAAAUUUUUAAUUUUCCAAAAAAGGCAUUGCACUACUAGAAAAUCUAGAACUAGAAGUGGGAUUUUAGUAGUGCAUACUGAUGUUAUGAGAGAGAGAGACAUACUGAUGUUAUGAGAGAGAGAGAGAGAGGAACACAAGUGUUUUGACAAUGGCCAAAGUUGAGGUAGUGUUUGAAUUUCUGUUUUCUAAUGGGUCCAAUUCCACGUCCAAAUCAAAACUUUGGCAAUGGCCACCCUGAUGAUUCACUGCUUCUUGACAAAACCAAAAUUAACUUUUAAUUUGUUUUCCUUUUUAUCUUUACCUUUUUAAUUAUUUUUUACAUGGUCUCUUUUACUUCAUUACUGUCAAAACGACAGCCCCCCGAGCAUUAGAUGACAGUAAAACAGCAGCAUAAAACAAUGUUCUUACAAUCUCAUUUUUAUUAGCAUGUCGCCUUUCCUUCCCUUAAUUUAGGAAAACUCGUUUCAUGUUACUCUCUCUCUCUCUCUCUCGUUUUAAUUAGAAUUAAGUAUUUCCUUCCCUUGAUUUAGGAAAACUAGUUUCAUGUUAGUCUCUCUCUCUCUCUCUCAACAUGAGUGUGUAUUUCUUUUCUUUCAUGACCGAUCAUGUUAAGAAAGAAAUAAAGAGAUAAGAAUACUGAUUUCGGUAUAGGUAAGUUACUCUUGUCAUUUAGGCAGGAUAAAUGAUACCAUAAUUAAUAUCUUUUCUUUUGAGGCUUAAAAAAUCUUACACUCAAUUCUCAAGUUUGUUAGUACAUCAUACGUGGUCAUUUUGAUUUUCCCCUCCUCCUGAUUAAUUUAAGUCAAACUUGUGGUUUUAGUGGUGCAACCUCUCGAACUUUGUGCUAGCAGCCAAAAAUUAGUGGAGGAAAGGAAACCCUAAAUCUAUACGAAAAUACUCAAUUAGGUAAAAUGGUUUUCAUGUACCAUUAUUCAGAUUUUCAGAUGAGAGAAAGAGACUUGCACCAAUAAUCCGAGUCCAAUAUAUUCAUUUCAAACAGAUACACACAAACAUAUAUACAAGCGUGUUAUAUAGUCAUUUCGAAAUCAUAUCAGAUUUUGAGUCUUUGACUCAGAAGUGUGGCUUAAAUUAAAAGCUUGCAGAAUGUCCUUGGACUGUAAGGAGUUCGCAUUAUCCAUCCAUAUGCCCUAUAAUUAAAAGCCUACGUCAGUCAUCAAAUACAUUCAAAAAAUUAUUUCCAAUCUUCAUCGAUCGAUCCCUUUGACUUGAUCGAGAAAGUGGGAGAGACUAUAUAUACAUAUAUACAUAUGUAUAUAUCAUCACCCACUUAGUUAUAGGGGUGUGAUAUCUACACACCUAAUUUUAUUUCUCACACACUUUUUUCAUUUUCGACCGUCGGAUCAGAUGAAUUGAAGAAAAUCAACGGAUAAAAAUUAACAAGAGGUGUGUGAGAAGUAAUUUGGGAUGUGGAUAGCACAUCCCUAGUUAUAACUUAUAUAGGAUGAUGGCAUCAGCACCAUUAUUAUAAAGAUAUACGUAUAUUUAUGUAUAUAUGGUUUAAAAUGCAGCCACUUAGCAUGGUCUGACUCUGACCUGACCAUCCCUCCGAGUCGACGUUGAUAAUGAUUUCCUUGUUGAAUGAUGUUAAAUGAGGGGGUUUGCGUGAAAGCAAUGACAGGCCAGCAUGCUCCAGUUCCAGCCACUUUGGCCAUGGAAAUCAGAUUAAGACAGUCCGCAUGGUGCAACACACACUUGAAAAUUACCAAUUUUUGUAGUCUCUUUUUCGAUCAUUUGCUAAUUAAAUAUGAUUUUAAUUUGUUUUGCCUUAGCUCUCAUAGUGUACUUGGUUACCAUCAUGAAGCUAAUUGGACCCUCUUCUUGUUUCAUCAUCUCAAUCCUUGACCUAGUACUCUCAUAAUUAGAUGGGUCAUAUCCAUAUAUAUCAACGUAAAAAACUUGCAGUUUAGUUGGUCAAGAGUCUUACCAUCCAGGUCUUGUUCCUUCCUUUGUAUUAUCAAAUGCAUAAAUAAAUAAAUAAGAUUUCUAAAAUGAUCAAAAUACAAAUCUUUGCUAAAAUGAUUCAGAAUCUUGUAUAUAUGUUGUCACUAUUUGCUUUGAAUUAUUUCAGUAAUUAUAAUUUGUAAACUCUUCAUUUCAACCAAUUUCUCUAAAAAAAAGCUUAUCCAUAUCCAAGUUGGCCAUAUGAAUUACACAUAUGUAUACACUCUUUUCACCAUGAUAGUACUGUGAUUUCGGAAAGUUCAAUUAUAUAUAACACCAUUUGAAUUAUAAAAUCGAAACUUUAGUCAACGCUCAAGUAAUGGAAUUGACUAUAUCAUGUUGUCUCCCAUGCAGAUGCAAUGCUGCCUGUUUCCGAUUAUAAAUUUCAAAUUAAAAUUUACAUAUAUGAAGUUAUUUUGAAUGUUAAGAAGUAAAUUGAAAUAAGUGGUGGAUUGCCUUAGUGGAUAGGGUUUUUCUAAUUUUUUUUUUCAACUCCAAUUUGUUGAAAUUUUUUAGAUUGACAGGUCCAAGGGUUCCAUUCUAACAACACCGAUAUUGUUCCUAACUUUACCACCUACUCAAUCCGUCAGGUGUGGGGUUUUACUACAAAAGGCUUCGGUAUUAGUUAGAGUAGGGUGAUCAUAUUUAAAGCCACCCUUGUUGACUACCCUCACCGACGUGGGACUAGCAACAUGCCCCCUCACGUGUAAACCCAUUUAGUGGUCCACACGUGAAGAUCCACACAUCGGUAAUUAAAACAACCCAAUUUAAUGGUUCACACAUGGAGAUCCACACAUCGGCAAUUGAAACUCAGAGGUCACCACCAUGGAGUCUACACUUGUUUUCAGUCUUUUCAGGAAGGAUAUUGUCUCAAUCCGUCAGGUUUUAGUGUUUUACCACAAAAGACUCGGUAAUGUUAGAGUAUGGUAAUCAUAUUUAAAGCCACCCUUGUUGACUUCCCCCCCCGGAUGUGGGACUGCCAACACAUUUCAGAUCCUAAACUGUUUUUGUAUAAAUUAAAAUAGUUAUAUCGCUUAUAAUAAAAAAAUUAUACUGAACAUUAAUUUAUAUCAAAUUUAGCGAUCCUGCUUCAUUAUUUGACUAGUUUUUAUAUAGAAGUCAAAUGCAGCAUUUUAUAACAGAUACAAAGUGCAUGUUACCCAUUUUUUUUCAGCUUAGUCGGCAGAGAAUCCAAGAUCUUCUUUGAUUCAAUAACAUUCGGUACAUUGCAUUCGUAACAAAAAGCCAUAUUCGCAUGUAAAAAACAAAACCCCUUCUUCUUAAUUUAUUCUUUAUAUACAAUAUUAUCUGAUCAAAUCACAAUCUUCGAAAUUGAUGUAAACAAUUUAAUUCUAAAUUAAUAAAAUUUCUUGUCUUUGAAAAAAAAAAUGGUAAUCUUGGAUUUGCACUGAUACUCGCAACUUCGAUAAUAUUUGACUGUUUGACUAAUGGUAAUCAUAUUAGUGUGCGUAAUUAUAAAUUUAUAAGAACACUAUAACAAAUCUGGAAUCACGUACGAUCAGGGGUUAGAGCUGUUUAAUCUGCUUGUGCGACGGAUCUAGUUUUCACCAAUUGUCCAUUCAGUUUCUGCCAAGUGUCAUGGUCGUGCAGAUGCAGACCAAGAAUAUACUGGGAGCUUGGUUGGCUUCCUUUUCCAACAAUUCUUGAAAAGCUAGCUUUUUUUUCAGCAAAACAAACAAGUGGUACGUAGUACAUUGCUAUCAGUUGAUCUUUUAUAUCACUGCAAAUCCCGUUGCCUCUAGAUAUUAGCAAUGCAACAGACAAAAGACAAAAAAGAUGUUAAAAAUGGUGCAUACUCAAACCCUAUUAAUAUAUAUAUAUAUAUAUGUGUACAUACAUACAUAUGUGCACACUAUGAUAAUGGAUAAUACUUUUCUCAUUUCGGUAAGGAGGAAACCCUAAUAGUUAUAGUUGAUCUUGUCAAUAUUUGUUUCCACACAUACAGAUAGUCAAACAAACAAUUCCGAGUUUUGCAGUAAAAUAAUGACACGUAAUGGAGAAUUACUUCGUUACCAAAAAUAAAGAAUUUAUUAUUCUAAUAUAAUAUUGAUCAACUUGAUAUGUAUCAUAAUAUUGAAAUCCCCGCAAACAAUGAGAAAGUAUAAAGCUCUUAACCCUCCCAUUCAUUACGAAUUAUAUACAUACGCAUGUCAAAUUAACCCCUUCUAUGCAAUAUCCAUGUGAACUAAGGACUCAUUAGAACAAAACUUGGCAGUCGGCAUUGCCUUUUUAUCUUUGACAGGAUGAAAAUUGUAAUAAUUAAACUAGUUGUACGUGUUUAGAGAGAAAGAGAGAAGCACUUUAACCAAGAUAUGGAGAUGGAGAGGUGUAGGAAGGGGGUGAUGGCUUGCCUAUUCAUUUUCCGACAAGUAAACAAAGGAAAUCGUCUCUGCCGUUCCAUUGGUAGGCAAAAGCUACGGCAAAGUAAAAAGGAAACAAACCUUUGAACAUCGUCUCUCUCUCUCUCAGGCAGCAAGACCACACUUCCUGCUCACCAUGUGAUGAGGAAUGAGUAAUCUAGUGCCUUUUAUUUAAUCUUAUAUAUAUCCCUAUUUUGUCUACACCCAAAAAUACUUUUUUUUUUCGCCAUACAAUUAUGUUAUUUAGAUGCACACAAUAACAGAGCUACGGAAUUAAUGGAUUCAAAUAAUGGUCAUGCUUGGUCUUUCACUAAUUAAUCUCGUUUGAUGUUCAUUCGAGACGUCAAUAUUUAAUAUUUACCCUAAAAUCUUUGAUGAUGAAAUAUCUUUAAGAAAUAACGAAGGUAAAGGAAAGGAGAUUGAGGAUUGUGAGGCAUGGUACUGAAACAUUUCUCAACAUUGUGAGGUUGGGAGCUUCUUUAAUUAUAUCUCGAUUGUAAAAAAAUUCUGACUCCGUCACCAAACACACUUUAUUAACUACAUUGAUAACACAAUAUUUUAUAAAGACAAGUCUUACUAUCGUUUGUGAGAUUAUAUGUAUUAAAGUAUGUGUUAACAACGUAAUCAGUUUUGUAUAUUCAAACUUGGUGUAUUAUCAUUAUGUUAGCUAGCUAGCUAGGAUGCAUGGUGAAGCAUACUCUCCAUCAUGUCACUCUUCCAAGUCAACCUAAGGCCCCGCACAGCCGCUACCCUUCGAUGAAUUCAAUUUCAAACAACAUAUAUACUUAAGGUUGGUAUUUGCACUAUAGGAAUAUUACUACCACAUCUAAUGGCACCUAAAAAAAUGUGGUUUGUGGCCAACUCUUGGGUCAAAAUCCUACUUUAAGCUAAGGAAAGGUAAGGGAUAUUACAAUUUUGUACCACAUUAGUGUAUUAUCUGAUAUUGCAAGUGAUGCGUACAUGCCACGUCAAUUAAUGAAUUUAUCUCAUUAAAUGUUAAUUGUAUGAAUCACUUGCCACAUGUGAUAGUACACCAAUAUGGUAUGUCUAGCAUUAUUCUUUUAAGUUAGCAUAUCAACCUUUCUUCUUUUUUUCUUUUCAUCUUUAUCAUUUUACAUAGAAUACAAUAUAAUAUUCCUGGAGAAAUUUAAAAUAUAUAGAUCCAUGAUCAAAUGAGAAUUAUUAAGCAGUAUAUACUAAAUAAACUUUCUUGUUUCAUAGAGCUUAUAGGACCUAAUAAGUCCUUCGGGUUAACCCAAAUGACGAAGAAAAAUCGCCCAUAAUAAUUCAUUUUCCUGUAGUGUAUAGGUUACGAAACAUGUUAGGGUUCAACUUCCUCAAACGUAAGAAGGAAGUUAAAUAGAUCUUAUUUGGUAGUAUUGUUUUCCCAAAUUAAGCUAAUUACUAAUCAUAACAAAAUUUAGUUUGUGAGGUCACUACUUUUCUUCUUAGAUUAGAGCUGGCUUUGCCAUUGGGUACGCAUCUUUCCUUCUCAAGUUAAAGUUGUUGGAUAAAAUAAAUAAUAAAUAAUACACGACAAAUAAAUCAGUUGAUGAGAAACUAGUUUAUUUCUUCAGAACAAUCAAAAGGAAAAACCAAUAAUGGUAUGGCCCUCCUACUCCAUUUUUGUAGAACAAACAGCAUCUAAAAAAUAAAAAAUAAACGUUUUCAGCAUACAAACAUCCCCCUAACAGUUCCUCUUUACCGACUAAUGUUUUAACUACAAAAUUAACCGGAAAAGACAAACCAAUGCUUUAACUACAAAAUUAACCAUGCCUUGUGUAGGUGGUCGUGACAGCGGCGGCAACGUUCUGCCAUUUCAAGAUAUGAAUUAGGAUUAUGCUGUACUAUAUAUAUUGUAACCGAUUGGUCUUGUCUUGCUUUCUCAAUCUGUUGUGAGUUUUUUGCUUAUCUGUUUGUUGGGCUGGUUGGCUUUAUCCAAAUGUGGUACAUUAUAUUGUUCAAUGAAUGUUUCUCUUUCGACCAAAAAAACCAUGCCUUGUGUAUGUCGGCGUCACAUUUUUCUCAAAUUCACUCCUUGAGAAACCUUUUAGUGACAGAUAUUCUGUUACAUAUUUGUUUAGAUGUUAUGAUAUGUAUGGACAACAUAGUUGUUUUUUCGUACUGUUUUACACAAUUAAUAUAGAAACUUAAAAGUUUCUAUAGACUGAAAUCAAACUCACAGAGUCUGGUGUGAGUCUUAAAGAGUGAGUGUAGUUGUUGAGUGUCAUACAUGUAUCUAAUGAGUCUGGAGUCCUAUAUAACAGCAUACCACAAUUAUUAAACUCACCCUACUAAAGUAAAUAGUAGUGUGUUAUAGGAAUCAAACUCAGAUAACUUAUCUAUUCUAUUAAGAGAACCCUCCUUGUCAACUUUUUGCCCUCUUUUUUUUCUUUCUAUUUACCCUCAUUUUUGAUACACAAUAUUGACAUGAAGAGGACAAAUUAGUAAUUUUGUAUAUUUUGAGAAAAUGACAAUCAUAUCCCAAUUUUUCCGAUUUUACUCUCACUUUUGAUACACAAUAUUUACAUAGAAAGAUAAAACAUUAAUUAUGUAAUAUUAAGAAAAAAUAUGCACUUAUUAAGAGAAACUGUCACAUCAUUAUUAUUUCAUACUCUUUUUAAAAUUUUAAAAACUAAUUAAACUCCUUAAUAAAAAUUAGAAAACAAAAUAAAAUUGUUCACACAUCCAAAAUGUGUGCUCAUUUGCUAGUUCAUAUAUAAAAGAACCAAGCCGACAUAAACCAUCUUGAAAAGCAAAAGCAGUAAAAAGUUUUGCGACCUUGCGUGGUAAUAUCACUGUAUGCACCAUGUCAUUUACCCACGCUAUAAAACCUAGCACGAUCAAUUAGUAACACGUGGGGUCGUGCGACCAUCGUAUUUGAAAAAAUUUCUUAAUUAUACACAUAUUUUGAUAGAGACUGACAAGUAAUAUCAAGUGGCAAUGACCGAAAAUUCCUCCUCUCCCUCUUUUGAUUUUAUUUAAUAUUUUAAUAUUUAUUUAUUAGACUUUAUAUGUAACGCCCACAGCACCUCACGAGCUUAAUUUACAUGUACAAAGCUUAGCCAAAGCUUUUCUUCCUCCACCACCUCCCUCCAUUAUUUCCACUAUCUUCCUCUGUUCUCUCUCUCUCUCUCUCUCCAACUCCCACACUUCAAUUCUCUCUCUCUUUCUCUCACUCACUCGUUCUACUCAGACAUCUUCUUCUUCGUCUUCUUCUCAAAUUUAAACAUUUUUGUUAAUUUAUCAUAAAAUAUUUACUCAUGGCACUUGAGACUUUGCUUCUCAAGGUGAAGACAGCAAUCUCCCACCGCUUCGACGUCGUGCGAACCUUCACGCACCACCCGCACCACCAACUCAAACCGGUAAGGAAGUCAAACGUCGGCGUCUUGGCCUUCGAGAUUGCCGGCCUCAUGUCGAAGCUCAUCCACCUCUGGCAGGCCCUGUCCGACAAGAACAUGAUCCGCCUCCACAACGAGUCCAUCUCCCCCGAAGGCGUCCGAAAAAUAGUCUCAAACGACGACGAUUUCCUCCUUGCCCUCGCCUGCGCCGAGCUCGUUGAGAAUCUCCGCCUCCUCGCCAACUCAAUCUCCCGACUCAGCACCAAAUGCGAGGACUCCCACCUCCGCUCCUUCGACCGCCUCUUCCUCGAGUUCGCCAACUCCGGCCGCGAUCCGUACAAUUGGGUGCUCGGAUUUAAAGAAAUGGAUGCUAACAAUGUCAAGAAGUUGGAGAGGUAUGUCACGAUCACGUCCACCCUCCACAGAGAGAUGGACGAGCUUAGUGCGCUCGAGAGCGCGCUGGGAAAAGCCUGGAAGUACAACGAGUACGAAAUUAAUAAUCAUUCCGCGCCGAUGACAACUAGUACUAAAGAGCAAAAAAUCGUCGAUCUUCAGCAGAAGAUCUUGUGGCAGAGAAAUGAGGUGAAGUAUUUGAAGGGCAGAUCGUUGUGGAGCAGAAGCUUCGACACGGUCACUUGGGUUAUGGCGAGGUCGAUUUUCACUGUUCUUGCGAGGACAAAGCUCGUUUUUGGUAUCGGACAAUGCCCUCCGUCGUCUUUGCCUCGGAGUCUCUCGGCCUCAGCUACUGUCCAUCCGUCCAACCAAUCGACAUGUCAUUUCGUAUCGGGGCCCUUGAGAUCCCCGAAGCUUGAUCAACAAGAUUACAAAAAUUCUCUGUGUAAGACGUACGUCACGAGUAUCACAAAGAUUGACCAUCAAGAUAAAAAAAAUUCUCUGUCCAGGACCAUCGUUGAUAUGAAAGACAGUUCGGAAGAUAUUGGGUUUUUUGAGUCCUACUCGAAGCUCCUCAAGCCACCGGCGAGCACAUUAGGCGCGGCGGCCUUGUCGCUUCACUACGCUAACUUGAUCAUAGUGAUGGAGAAGAUGAUAAAAUUCCCACAAAUGGUUGGCGUCGACGCGAGGGACGAUCUCUACUCGAUGUUGCCGAGCAGCGUAAGGUCUUUGCUACGCGCCAGGUUGAGAGGGGUAGGGUUUUCCGCCAGCGAUCCGGUACUAGCCGGCGAGUGGAGGGAAGCGUUGGGGAAGAUCCUAGAGUGGUUGGCGCCGUUGGCGCACAAUAUGAUAAAAUGGCAAAGUGAGAGGAGCUUUGAGCAACAAAACACGAUGCCAAAAACAAAUGUUAUGCUUUUGCAAACUUUGUUUUUUGCGAACAAGGACAAAACGGAGGCUGCCAUAACUGAGCUGCUUGUGGGUUUGAAUUAUAUUUGCAGGUUUGAGAGGGAGAUGACGGCUAAGGCCUUGUUUGAAUGCAAUAACUCCAUUAAUGGGUUGCACAAUUUGCAGAGUUCUAGCUAGCUAGUGAAGGAAAAAGAAUUAAACCGUUUUCUUUUUCUUUUUCUUUUUCUUUUUGUUGGGGUUAUUUUAGUUCGUAUUUUGGAUUUCAAUUUUGAUUUCUGAAAUUUUACCAUCGUGUUUUGAAUUGAGCUGCGUUGAUAAGAUCUUCGGGGUUCGUUUUUGUAUCGAACUCUCGUUUGUAUAUGAUGAAAUAAAUAGAUAUAAAAUGUAAAUGAUUUGUUUCUUGAGAUAUUUUCCGAAAUCAAAAGUAGGGGAUUAUGAAUUUUGAGAUUAUAGUUCAUGCAUGAUCAUGUGAAAAAUAUUUGUUGAUACUCUGUACCAAUAAAAGAUCACAAAUUUUUUUUUUAAAAUAAGGUGAAUAUUUUCUUGUGGACUUGUAACACAUGUGUUUGGUUAUGAACAAUUGAUUAAAUAAUUAAAUUCGGCUACCAUAUAGAUUCUAAGCAGAGAUGCUAGGAACGAAAAUUCAACAACAAAAUUUUGAGUGUAAUUGUAAACGCUCUUAACAUUUUUAGCUACGAGUCCAUCAUUAGUCAAGACUCAUUGGCAGAGCUAGUAUGGGGUUAUUAUUCAUUCAUGACUCCAACAACGUCAACAAUCCUAUGUAUAUUUGUAUGUGUAUCGUAUUAGAUCCUAUAAACAGCUAGGCAAACUAAAUAACAACUUUCUCUUACUUUUUCUUCUAUUUUUUCUUUAUCAUCCCUGUCCUUCUUUAUCUCUUUUUGAGUGUAACUCUAUUGUGCACUCCCUUGGAAGCCUUCAACAUUACUUUACAGUUUCGUAUAGUUACCCUUGAUAAGCCUCCACAUAUCAUUGUUGUUGAUGACAUAUGUUAGCAUAUUCCUUUAACAAAUGUUGAUAAGAAUUGAGAUGUUCCUAGGUGCUCGACAAAAUGGUCUAAUGAAAAUUUUUCCGUCGAAAUCAUGACUCCGCCAUUACCAAAACUUUCAAAUUCAGUUUAUUCCAACGGGGAUACUUGAUACCGCACAUUUUAUUUUUAUUUUUAAUUUUAUUUUAUAAAGGACUCCCACUUAAACUCCUAAGUAAUAUAGCCUUUUAAUUUUCCGUUACAGAAUAAUCUAGCCUUUUUAUUGUGACCACUUUUUUUUAUUUUCCUCACUAUUUUAUUAGAAAAAGUAGAUAUAAGUAAAAACUAUGUCAACUUGAAAUAUAUGAUCUCUCACUAUUCACGCACAUUUUAUGCUCAUCAAAGGUACUUUUUAUGGUAAGGAAUUUGUAGCUUAAUCAAGAGUAUUCUUUGUAGCUGAUGCAGCAUUAAGUAAUCAAAUGAGUUACCAACGUAAUCCUUUCAAGAACAAGUCUAGAAUUCACCAGAUAAUUGAGAGAAACUCCAAAGGGUUGUUGUUGAAUUGAUAAUUGAAUGAACGAAUGGUUACAUCCAGAUGACUUAAAUAAUGAUUACAAAGGUUUGGAAAACUCAAAGGACUUCUAGAAAUUUAAACAACAUUAAUUCAACAUUAAUGGACGAGAAAAGAAAGGUCUGAUUUUAUUACAAGACUUUAAACACUAUUUUGGAAACUGAAAUGACCUCGGAUGGCUAAAAUUUGUCGUACAUCACGAGAAAUCUGUGAAUUGGACUUGCGGCGUAGUUUUCUUUCUAAAAAGGUAUCAUGGGCCCAAAUCGGAGCUCGAACAUUAAAUCUGCAAAUUCCUACUAUGUCUUUUUGUCCUUCGAUGGUCCAUUUCCUCUUCGAUCCAUUCUGCCAUUCGUUCUACAUCAAUAGCAUUUGAAAUUUCGAUUUUGAAUUUCUCUUCUCCAAUAUUGAUUGAAUAAAAAAACUACUCUAUCCGCAAACAAAGAAAAAAAAAAAAAACUACUCUAACUUACGAGACUACCAAAAUUAAUUGGCCUAACCUCCAUUCGCAAGCACAAGACGAUAUAAAAAAUUGAAUUCAUGCAAGUAAAUCAUGUAAAUCCAGAAGGGACUUCAUGUGAACAUGUGAGUGAAUCUCUACCUUUCGGCCAGACCCAAACACUAGUGGACAAAAUCCAAACACACAAAUUCAAAGAAAUAGUAAUUAAAAAGUGUUUGAUCCUCCAGCUAAUGGCAUUUUGCUUAGUGAAAUUCAUAUAAUUGCAAAGAUGCAUUGCCCCACUUAUAAUAUAUACUUUGUAAAAGAUUCUUCGUUGACAUUCAUACGAUCAUUGUAUUUGAUGUGUUAAAAAGCACUCCAAAUUGAACCAUCUGGCAUUGAAAGACAAUUUAUAGGGGAUUAAGUGAAUGUGUUUUAGUUUGAAUUGAAAAAUCGAAUCUUGAGAUCUUUUUCCUCUGUAUUGAUACGAAUCAUGCUGUAGGAGAGGCAAAUCAAACACACAACUUUAAGUGACUGUUAGAGCAUCUCUAAUGAAGAUGUCAAAUUAAAUGUAAAAUUUCAUUUUAAUAGUAAAAUAAUCAAUAAGUGAAGAAAAUAAAGAAAUAUGUGUCCAAAAAAAAAAAAUUGGCGUUGUCUUCAAAUUUGGAGUGAAGAAUGUCAACCAUGUAAGAUUUUGGCAUCUCCUCUGAAGGAAGGGGAUCCUCUUCAGAUCCCUUUCCACCAAAUCCACUUAAAAUUCAACGGCUAUAAACAUGAGACCCCUUUAAAAGUUAUAAUAACUGUAGCCGUUGGAUUUUCGAAUCCACACUAAGUGGAUUCCGGAUCCUUUCCUUUGAAACCAUAAAAUCACCUUUCUUUUUGUUAAAGGAGUCCGCCUAGAAUUUUUGGCAUUUCUUUGGCAGAUUUUUUAUAGGCUACUCAGUUAUCUUAAGCCCAUUAGCCUUAGGUCCCAUAUGUUAAAGAAAAGCCCACUAAUCCCAGGUCCAUUAUGUUAAAGGAAAAAAAAUGUGUGAUUGGUGUUCUUAGUAUUUGGAGAGUGAGUAUGUUCUUUUACCGGCUACGGGACCAAUUGUUUGUCAUUGAUACUAUUGUUGUGUACGUAUUGAUACAUCAUUGACAAUACCAAUAUUGUACCAAUGAUAUGUCUCCUUUUUUAUUUUUUUUAUUUUAUAAAAAUCGGACAUCAUGCAUAAAAAAUUUCUAAUAAUUAAAUCUCGACUUUAAUUGUAAGUCAAUUAACUAAAAUAAUUAUAUUGUGUCUCAAUAUAUAAUCAAUGACAUAAAAUCAAAAGGAAAAGAAUUACAAACUUGAAAUUGAGCAACUAAACUAACAAAGACAAUGUUAUAUCUAUGCCAACUAAACAUUAUGAUAAUUAAGUUGUUCACCUAGGACUCUAAACCCUCCAAUGCAGCUUAUCACCCUUGCAAAGAGGGUUUUGCUUGGUCAAAAGUUCUUGCCCAGUCUUCUUGUAAUCCACAGAGCAUGAGUGUUCUUCAGGGUACCUAUGCUUCCCACAAAACACACCGCCGCAGCGGCAUUCGAACCCUGUCGGGCCAACCCUUUUCUUGCAGCUCAAGCACCUCUUUUUCUGCGAUAAAUCUGAUGAACCUUGUGAAGAUUGCGAAGGCAAAGAAGAAAUAACGGCUGCGGUAGCGGAGCUUGAGUCACUGAGUGUGUUGUCCACUGAAGCUAACCCUACCAUGGCUGCAGGCUUAGCAAACUGCUCUUCUUUCAGGUAUUGUCUGUAGCAAUUUGAGCACAUGUUCAUAUUCGUCACAGAGCCAAAGAAGCCGCAGCCUUUUGCACAGAGUGGAGGCUCCAUGUUGGUGUCGUUUCGUGAAUCCAUAUUUGGUUUCUUGAAUCUCUUUUUGUUACUUUUGCAAUCGCAGAGUUAAGUAAUACAAGGGAGGCGGAAAAUAGAACUUGAGAUUUCGAACUUAGAAAAAUGAACGCUCUCAAUUAACUGAACUACAAGCCCUUGCGGCAAAGUUAUACUUCUUAACAGGACUCCGAACUAAGCUUCUUAAUUUUUUUUCGAUUUCGAUUAUUAGUUAAGAGGUUUGGCGAGUAUGUGAGUAGUUUUAUAGUGCGAAGGGUGCUCGCACCUAGUAAUGUAGGAUUAGGAGUGGUAUGAAUUUCCUUUUCUUAUUAGGAUUGGUUUCUAAUUAACCUGCUCUGUACAGAUUUCUAAAUGUUUUUUGUUUCCUUCUUUUUCUUGUAGAAACUUUAAGUCGGUGGAGUGCAACUUUGCUCAUUCCCUAAAGUGGGGUAGUGCUGAUCUUCCUUAAUUGCCGUUAGAUUAGUAUUGAUUUAAUUAAGAAUUUAAGAUACAAAUAUCAAAACUUAAACUAAUCUAACGGUAAUUAUUGGGAUGAAUAUCACGCUCGCUUUAGAAGGUGGGCAAAAAUACACUCAAGUUAGUGGGUUCGGAAUCCACACACACACACACACAUAUAUAUAUAUAUAUAUAGGCCCUUUAAGGGAAGGGGUCCUCUUUUAAUAGUUAGAUUUGGCUUUAAUAAAAUUUUGUGGUUAAGAUUAAAUCACAAGCCACAUAAUUUCAUUAAAGCUAAAUCUAUCGGUCAAAAAGGUGUUCUCAUUUUUUUGAAAAAUGGGGAAAAAAUGGGGAUCACUUCCCUUAAAGCUUCCUGUAGAAUUUUUGAUGUGUAUUUCAUGAAGAAACAAUUACAAAAGAAACAUAUAUAUAGGAAAAGAAAGUAGACAUAAGCCUAACUUGCCUAACUUGCCUAACUUGCCUAACUUGCCUAAUUUCCUAACUUGCCUAACUUGCCUAAUUUACACAAAGAAUGUUGACUAGCCUAACUUCACUAGUCAUCCAACAUGUUUAUUUCAUGCAUACAUUUUAACACAAGAUAUGACUUGCAUGCAUUCUUCCCAACACCCCCUCAAGCUGGAUCGAGGGGAUUCACUGAGCCAAGCUUGCCCAAUAACCGAUGAAACUGAGAUGAUGCUAGUGCCUUUGUAAAAAGAUCUGCUAGUUGAUCAUGGCUUCGUGUGAACAUGGUCCGGAUGAUUUGCGUUUGAACUUGAGCUCUGAUGAAAUGACAAUCCACUUCAAUAUGUUUGGUUCUUUCAUGGAACACAGGAUUGGCAGCAAUGUGCAUGGCUGCCUGAUUAUCACACAUAAGCGUCAUAGGAGUAGAACUAGGAAACCCUAAGUCUGAAAGAAGCCCUUUAAGCCAAAUGAGUUCACAUGCAGUGGCUGCCAUGGCUCGAUACUCAGCCUCUGCGCUGGAACGAGCAAUGACCUGUUGCUUCUUACUCUUCGGAUAGUUGCACAAACAUUGUUGAAGGUAGGCAGGUCUUGACUCAUCAAGAUGUGACUCCUUAGGUCCUCGUACUCAGAGCUCAAACUCCCUAACAGCUGAUAAAUUUUGUCUUCCUCAGCUCGUUUUAGGAGAAUGGUAGGAUCUGUGGUAUGAGGGAGAUAUACAUCCAACUCAUUCCACAUGGCUUUGAGGCUCCCAAGGUGUUGAACAAAUGCUUUCCCUUCUUGUUGAGCACUGGCAAUGUCCUUCUUUAAUUGGAAGACCCGUGCAUAGUUGUUUUGAUUUCCAUACAUAUCCUGCAAAGCUUUCCAAAGAUCAUGUGCGGAAUUGGAGUAGCUAAAAAUUUCAGCAACAUGUUUCUCCAUGGUGUUGAGCAGCAAGGACAUGACAAGUUGAUCUUUGCAGAGCCAUGCAUUGUAUGUAGAGGAAGAACUGUCUGGAGCUUCCACGCUUCCAUUUACAAACCCUAACUUCCCUUUGCCUCCGAGAGCUAGUGAAACAGCUCGGACCAAGGAAGAUAAUUGAACUCGUUCAAGAGAACUGAACACAAACGUUGAUUGGUGUUAACCUCAACGUCUGAGAAGUUUGGAGAGAGAUUGUGCCGGGUUUCCUCAUCAUGGUUCACAGAACUUUCUUCAGUCAUGACUUAGACUUUGAAAGAAAGAAAAAAUUGCAGCAGCAAGAAUGGCAGAGACAGGUUACAAAUGAACCUGCUCUGAUACCAUGUAGAAUUUUUGAUGUGUAUUUCAUGAAGAAACAAUUACAAAAGAAACAUAUAUAUAGGAAAAGAAAGUAGACAUAAGCCUAACUUGCCUAACUUGCCUAACUUGCCUAACUUGCCUAAUUUCCUAACUUGCCUAACUUGCCUAAUUUACACAAAGAAUGUUGACUAGCCUAACUUCACUAGUCAUCCAACAUGUUUAUUUCAUGCAUACAUUUUAACACAAGAUAUGACUUGCAUGCAUUCUUCCAACACUUCCUCUAUAUAUAUAUAUAUAUAUAUAUAUAUAUAUAUAUAUAUAUAUAUUACGUUGGUUUAAACCCUUUUAAUGCAUGCAUAAUCCAUGUGGUAUUUUGGUGUUUUUCUUAUAACUACUUGAUGCUUUUAAUUUUAAGGGCUAUUUUUGCACACAUCAUAGUAUCGUCAAUGAUACUAUGGUGAAAAUACUUUGGACCAAUAUGUGAAUUAUUUUCCAGGGUAAGAGCGUCUUUUCAAGUCAAGUUUAUAGAUCGAAAAACUAAAAAUAACUAAAAAGAAAUCAAGUGAACUAAUCCAUCAAUUACUAAUAAGCUCUGACUGAUUCAGAUGAGAAACACAAUCUCUCAAUGGUAAAUUUCCCUUCUUACUCUUACGUCCACUGUCGUCGUUUUCUAAAAUUUGUUUGGUUUCCAAGCUACUCCGGAACAGCUACGGCUGUACCAAAUAUUAGUUUCAUAUCGAUUCAAAACAGGAAAGAGAAUUAUAUAUAUAAGGGUAAAAGACUGUUUACUAUCCUCAUGUUUAGUGAUUUUCAACAUUUAGUACAUCAAUUUUUUUUCAUCCCAGAGUCAUACCUAAAGUGUUAAUUUUGGGACAAUUUCAUACAUCUGUUAGUUAAACUGUUAGUUCUCCUGUUAAGUGAUGACAUGGCGCCCAGGUGGACAAUGACUGGGCGCCAUGUGUCAUUAAAAAUAUUAAAAAAUUAAUUAAAUUAAAAAAAAACGAACUGCAACCAAGGAGAAGAAGAAGGAGGAGGAAGAAGAAGAAGAAAAAAAAAUUCGAAUUUGGGGAAGAAGGAGGAGGAGGAAGAAGAAGAAAAAAAAAAUCGAAUUGGGGAAGAAGAAGAAGAAAAAAAAAUUCGAAUUUGGGGAAGAAGGAACAAAAAAAUUCGAAUCUGGGGAAGAAGGAGGAGGAGGAGGAGGAAGAAGGAAAAAAAAAUCGAAAAACUUGAAUCUGGGGAAGAAGAAGAAGAAGAAGAAACAACAACAACAACAACAAAGCCUUUUCCCACUAAGUGGGGUCGGCUAUAUGAAUCCUAGAACGCCAUUGCGCUCGGUUUUGUGUCAUGUCCUCCGUUAGAUCCAAGUACUCAAGUCUUUUCUUAGGGUCUCUUCCAAAGUUUUCCUAUGUCUUCCUCUACCCCUUCGGCCCUGAACCUCUGUCCCGUAGUCACAUUUUCGAACCGGAGCGUCAGUAGGCCUUCUUUGCACAUGUCCAAACCACCGGAACCGAUUUUCUCUCAUAUUUCCUUCAAUUUUGGCUACUCCUACUUUACCUCGGAUAUCCUCAUUCCCAAUCUUAUCCUUUAUCGUGUGCCCAUACAUCCCACGAAGCAUCCUCAUCUUCGCUACACCCAUUUUGUGUACGUGUUGAUGCUUCACCGCCCAACAUUCUGUGCCAUACAACAUCGCUGGCCUUAUUGCCGUCCUAUAAAAUUUUCCCUUGAGCUUCAGUGGCCUACGACGGUCACACAACACGUCGGAUGCACUCUUACACUUCAUCCAUCCAGCUUGUAUUCUAUGGUUGAGAUCUCCAUCUAAUUCUCCGUUCUCUUGCAAGAUAGAUCCUAGGUAGCGAAACCGGUCACUUUUUGUGAUCUUCGCUAGAUUGCUCCGGUCAUUAGUGUGGAUAAGUAUAUAAAUGGAUAGAGAUAGGAAAGCAAACACAAGAUGUACGUGGUUCACCCAGAUUGGCUACGUCCACGGAAUAGAGGAGUUCUCAUUAAUUGUGAAGGGUUUACACAAGUACAUAGGUUCAAGCUCUCCUUUAGUGAGUACAAGUGAAUGAUUUAGUACAAAUGACAUUAGGAAAUAUUGUGGGAGAAUGAUCUCGUAACCACGAAACUUCUAAGUACCGGAGUGUGGUAUCAUCUUGACUUGCCUUAUCUGUCUCAUACGUAGAUGCGGCAUCUUCUCUGGAAGUACUCUUCCUCCAUCCAGGGGUGGUAUCUGUAACUGGUGGAGAUGCACAAGGUAAUGUAUCAAUUUCACUUGAAGCUUACUUGUAGUUUCAGGCUUGGUCAAGCACGAUACAAACCAUGUAGUAGGAGUCCCCCAAGUCGCCGGGCUAGGGAAUCUGCUGAAAGAGGUGACAGACAAGGUAAGCAAUCAGAGCUCCGACUGAUUGUUCACAUUCUCCCUAUCUUGCAGGCAGCAUGAAGGAUAAAGAGAAGAAAAAUGAGAAGAGAUGAUAUGGGAUACUUUUGCUUUUGAAGAAGUAACUUUCCACAGGCUUAUUCUUGAACCGGGCUGGAGGGUUUUCUGGUUUCCUCCAGAGUAUAAGGCCGACUGAAGAAUUUGAGGGUCAAAACAAGUCCAUCAAAUCUAGAGUACGUUCGACCCUGCUGAUAUGGGAUACUUUUGCUUUUGACAGAGUAGUGGAUGUAUCGGCACGUGUGCUGUUACGCUUGUCUCCACAUGCUUCCUUGUAUCCUUCUCACUUGCCCUAUCUGUUCCUCAGGCAGAUGCGGUAUCUUCCCUGGAAGCAUAAGAUGUUGAAGAUGAGUACUCGAGAGCAAUGCCAGGUAAGUAAUCAGGUAAGGGGUUCCAGGCAGUCAGUUCCUGGCUGGAAGCUUGAUUCCAAGUGCUGACUGAUUGCUCUCUUUCUCCUUGUCUUGCAGGUAAGAACAAGGCCAAAGGAAAUGACAGGGAAAAAGUAUGAUAUGGGAUACUCUUGCUUUUAACCCUGAUGAUAUGAGAUAUUCUUGCUCUAGUAUAGCUUGUUUACAGAGGUAUUAUCGGGGGGAAAGAAAGCUGAAUAUUUCGAAAGGCUUCGUUGGGAGUGCCCUCUCAGAUAAGAGAAAGGGUUGAGCAUUUUUGCAGGUCUGCCUGUCCGUUAGGGAUGGAGGUCGACAUAUAUAGGAGUCUCCCUAACAUCAAGUAAUAAUGUUAUUCCUUUACCCUGCUUGGUCAUAGCACGGUAGUGGGAGCUGCCAGCUUCACAUGUUUUAACUCUGUCAGAGCACUUUGAAAAAGUGGUCUGUGGUAUCUGGAAAGCUGAUGUUGCGUGUGAAGAUUACAGACAAGCUUUAUCCAAGGAGAUCCAGCUCUUGAAGUUGGGAAAAUGGUGCCUCUUCGGUUUUCGAACAAGCAAUCCUGUCGGGGAUCUGGCUCUCGAGAUUCGGAGAACGAUACCUCUUCGAUUUUUGAGAAAGCAAUCCUGCUGGGGGUCUGGCUCUCGAGAUUCGGAGAGCGGUGUCUCUUCGAUUUUUGAGAAAGUAAUCAUGUUGGGAGUCUGGCUCUCGAGAUUCGGAGGGCGGUGCCUCUUCGAUUUUGGAGCAAGCAAUCUUGUUGGGAGUGUUUUCUCGAAUGUGAGUAAAGGUUGGGCAUGUUUGCUAGUCUACCUUGCCACGAAGCACAAAGGUUGACACACAGGGACUUUCCAAUUAUCCAGCAGUGGUACUGUUCCUUUACCCUCUCUUCGAUUUUUGAGAAAGUAAUCAUGUUGGGAGUCUGGCUCUCGAGAUUCGGAGGGCGGUGCCUCUUCGAUUUUGGAGCAAGCAAUCUUGUUGGGAGUGUUUUCUCGAAUGUGAGUAAAGGUUGGGCAUGUUUGCUAGUCUACCUUGCCACGAAGCACAGAGGUUGACACACCGGGACUUUCCAAUUAUCCAACCGUGGUACUGUUCCUUUACCCUUGUGGGUAAUAAUAUGGUAGUUAGACCUUCAAAAUUUAUGUGUCUAAACUUUGUUAGUGUUGUUUCUUUGCAAUUCUUUUACCCUUCUUGGUCAGAGCGAUGUAGCGGGAGCUGCAAGCUUCACGUGUCUCAACUUUGUCAGAGAACUUUGGCAAAGUUAUCUGUGGUACCCAUGAGUUACUGUUGCGUGUGGGAAGUGGGUGAUUGAACAGUACGAUUCAUGUGCUUUCUACUUCGCCAGAAAUCUUCGACAGAAUGCCCAUAAUUUCCGCAAAGCUGAGUGUGCGUGUGACAGGUGCUGACAAGGCUGGAAAAGUAGGUGCCUCUUCGAUUUCUGAGAUCGGCCCUCGUGGUCUCUUAGCAGCCUAGCUUUUGAGAAAGCAAGCCUCUUCGAUUUCUGAGAUCGGCCUUCGUGGUCUUUGAGCAGCCCAGCUUUUGAGAAAGCAACGCCUCUUUGAUUUCUGAGAUCGACCCUCGUGGUCUCUGAGUAGCCCAGCUUUUGAGAAAGCAAACGCCUCUUCGAUUUCUGAAGCUUCGUCGAGUGCAGAUUUUUAUAGGGGCUGACAUUAAGUUCCAAAGCACACUUGAAUAUCCACCAGUAGAAGCUCCAUUCUUGUACUUCUAAGAUCUUGAUUUGUCCGACCUCUUCUCUCUUCAAUACCUUUGAAAAUGUCUGGCUCUUCCGACCAUCGUUUUGACUUGAACCUUGUUGAAGAGGCAGCCCCGCCUUCUCCAGACAACAUAUGGCGCCCAUUAUUCGUCUCCCCUACUGGUCUUCUUACCGUUGGGGAUUCCGUGAUGAAGAAUGAUAUGACCGCUGCGGUAGUGGCCAGGAACCUUCUCACUCCCAAAGAUAACAUACUACUUUCCAAACGGUCUGAUGAGUUGGCUGUUAAAGAUUCUCUGGCUCUCAGUGUUCAGUGUGCAGGUUCUGUGUCUAAUAUGGCCCAACGCCUAUUUGCUCGAACCUGCCAAGUUGAAUCAUUGGCGGCUGAAGUGAUGAGUCUCAAACAAGAGAUUAGAGGGCUCAAGCAUGAGAAUAAACAGUUGCACCGGCUCACACAUGACUAUGCUACAAACAUGAAGAGGAAGCUUGACCAGAUGAAGGAAUCUGAUGGUCAGGUUUUACUUGAUCAUCAGAGAUUUGUGGGUUUGUUCCAAAGGCAUUUAUUGCCUUCGUCUUCUGGGGCUGUACCGCGUAAUGAAGCUCUAAAUGAUCAACCUCUGAUGCCUCCUCCUUCUAGGGUUUUGUCCAGUACUGAGGCUCCGAAUGAUCCCCCUCCGGUGCCUUCUCUUUCUGGGGCUCUACCGACUGCUGAGACUUCUCCUAAGCAACCUUUGUGAAGGCUCCCUCUUGUUUGUUUAUUUUGACUCAAGUAUAUGUACAUAUUUGUAACUUAUCGGGGAUAUCAAUAAAUAAGCUUUCCUUCAUUUCAACGUAUUGUGUUAAAUACACCAAAGCCUUCUUCGCUAAGUUCUUUGAAUUUUCUUUUGUUGAAGCUUGUAUGUUGAAGCUUUGUGAGUGAAGCAUGUAGGUUGAGGUAGUAGUGUUCCCUUAAUUUCCCGAGUGAGGAAAACUUCUCGGUUGGAGACUUGGAAAAUCCAAGUCACUGAGUGGGAUCGGCUAUAUGAAUCUUAGAACGCCAUUGUGUUCUGUCCUAUGUCAUGUCCUCCGUUAGAUUCAAGUACUCUAAGUCUUUUCUUAGGGUCUCUUCCAAAGUUUUCCUAGGUCUUCCUCUACCCCUUCGGCCCUGAACCUCUGUCCUAUAGUCGCAUCUUCUAAUCGGAGCGUCAGUAGGCCUUCUUUGCACAUGUCCAAACCACUGUAACCGAUUUUCUCUCAUCUUUCCUUCAAUUUCGGCUACUCCUACUUUACCCCGGAUAUCCUCAUUCCUAAUCUUAUCCUUUCUCGUGUGCCCACACAUCCAACGAAGCAUCCUCAUCUCCGCUACACCCAUUUUGUGUACGUGUUGAUGCUUCACCGUCCAACAUUCUGUGCCAUACAGCAUCGCCGGCCUUAUUGCAGUCCUAUAAAAUUUUCCCUUGAGCUUCAGUGGCAUACGGCGGUCACACAACACGCCGGAUGCACUCUUCCACUUCAUCCAUCCAGCUUGUAUUCUAUGGUUGAGAUCUCCAUCUAAUUCUCCAUUCUUUUGCAAGAUAGAUCAUAGGUAACGAAAACGGUCGCUCUUUGGUAUUUCUUGAUCUCCGAUCCUCACCCCUAACUCGUUUUGGCUUCCAUUUGCACUGAACUUGCACUCCAUAUAUUCUGUCUUUGAUCAGCUUAGGCGAAGACCUUUAGAUUCCAACACUUCUCUCCAAAGGUUAAGCUUUGCAUUUACCCCUUCCUGAGUU
rnacentral:lncRNA from 1 species